UCCUACGGGGCGCAGCAGUGGGGGAUAUUGCACAAUGGGGGGAACCCUGAUGCGGCGACGCCGCGUGGGCGAUGGAGUACUUCGGUAUGUAAAGCCCUAUCAGCAGGGAAGAAAAUGACGGUACCUGACUAAGAAGCCCCGGCUAAAUACGUGCCAGCAGCCGCGGUAAUACGUAUGGGGCAAGCGUUAUCCGGAUUUACUGGGUGUAAAGGGAGCGUAGACGGCGCGGCAAGUCUGAAGUGAAAGGCAGGGGCUUAACCCCUGAACUGCUUUGGAAACUGCCAUGCUAGAGUGCUGGAGAGGUA
rnacentral:rRNA from 1 species